rnacentral:rRNA from 1 species
GACGAACGCUGGCGGCGUGCUUAACACAUGCAAGUCGAACGGUGAAGCUCCAGCUUGCUGGAGUGGAUCAGUGGCGAACGGGUGAGUAACACGUGAGCAACCUGCCCCUGACUCUGGAAUAAGCGCUGGAAACGGCGUCUAAUACUGGAUACGAGAAGGGCCCGCAUGGGCACUUUCUGGAAAGUUUUUCGGUUGGGGAUGGGCUCGCGGCCUAUCAGCUUGUUGGUGAGGUAAUGGCUCACCAAGGCUACGACGGGUAGCCGGCCUGAGAGGGCGACCGGCCACACUGGGACUGAGACACGGCCCAGACUCCUACGGGAGGCAGCAGUGGGGAAUAUUGCACAAUGGGCGAAAGCCUGAUGCAGCGACGCCGCGUGAGGGAUGACGGCCUUCGGGUUGUAAACCUCUUUCAGCAGGGAAGAAGCGAAAGUGACGGUACCUGCAGAAGAAGCACCGGCUAACUACGUG